rnacentral:rRNA from 1 species
UACGUAGGGACCAAGCGUUGUUCGGAUUUACUGGGCGUAAAGAGCGCGCAGGCGGUCGUUCAAGUCGAGUGUGAAAGCCCCCGGCUCAACUGGGGAGGGUCACUCGAUACUGAUCGACUUGAAGGCAGGAGAGGGAAGCGGAAUUCCCGGUGUAGUGGUGAAAUGCGUAGAUAUCGGGAGGAACACCAGUGGCGAAGGCGGCUUCCUGGCCUGCUCUUGACGCUGAGGCGCGAAAGCUAGGGUAGCAAACGGG